GGCUGUAUAGUGUAGUGGUUCAGCACAUGGGAUUUUGAUUCCCAGGACCCCGGUUCGAACCCGGGUACGGCCU
rnacentral:tRNA from 1 species